rnacentral:rRNA from 1 species
UACGUAGGGUGCGAGCGUUGUCCGGAAUUAUUGGGCGUAAAGAGCUCGUAGGCGGCUUGUCACGUCGGAUGUGAAAGCCCGGGGCUUAACUCCGGGUCUGCAUUCGAUACGGGCAGGCUAGAGUUCGGUAGGGGAGAUCGGAAUUCCUGGUGUAGCGGUGAAAUGCGCAGAUAUCAGGAGGAACACCGGUGGCGAAGGCGGUUCUCUGGGCCUUACCUGACGCUGAGGAGCGAAAGCGUGGGGAGCAAACAGG